rnacentral:rRNA from 1 species
AGAGUUUGAUCCUGGCUCAGAACGAACGCUGGCGGCAGGCUUAACACAUGCAAGUCGAGCGGGCCCUUCGGGGUCAGCGGCAGACGGGUGAGUAACGCGUGGGAAUCUACCCAUCCCUACGGAACAACUCCGGGAAACUGGAGCUAAUACCGUAUACGCCCUUUUGGGGAAAGAUUUAUCGGGGAUGGAUGAGCCCGCGUUGGAUUAGCUAGUUGGUGGGGUAAAGGCCUACCAAGGCGACGAUCCAUAGCUGGUCUGAGAGGAUGAUCAGCCACAUUGGGACUGAGACACGGCCCAAACUCCUACGGGAGGCAGCAGUGGGGAAUAUUGGACAAUGGGCGCAAGCCUGAUCCAGCCAUGCCGCGUGAGUGAUGAAGGCCCUAGGGUUGUAAAGCUCUUUCAACGGUGAAGAUAAUGACGGUAGCCGUAGAAGAAGCCCCGGCUAACUUCGUG